rnacentral:rRNA from 1 species
AGGACGAACGCUGGCGGCGCGCUUAACACAUGCAAGUCGAGCGAGAACCAGGCCUUCGGGCCUGGGGAAAGCGGCGAACGGGUGAGUAACACGUGGGUAACCCACCCUUGGUACCGGGAUAGCCCGAGGAAACUCGGAUUAAUACCGGAUGGCCCAACAGCUUCUCGGAGCGGUUGGAAAAGGUAGCUUCGGCCUCCGACCAAGGACGGGCCCGCGGUGGAUUAGCUUGUUGGUGAGGUAACGGCUCACCAAGGCUUCGAUCCAUAGCUGGUCUGAGAGGACGAUCAGCCACACUGGGACUGAGACACGGCCCAGACUCCUACGGGAGGCAGCAGUGGGAAUCUUGCGCAAUGGGCGAAAGCCUGACGCAGCGACGCCGCGUGGGGAAGAAGGCUUUCGGGUUGUAAACCCCUUUCAGGAAGGACGAAGCCACUCGGGUUAAUAGCCCAGAGGUGACGGUACUUCCAGAAGAAGCCCCGGCUAACUACGUGCCAGCAGCCGCGA